rnacentral:rRNA from 1 species
ACUCCUGCGGGAGGCAGCAGUGGGGAAUUUUGGACAAUGGGGGCAACCCUGAUCCAGCAAUGCCGCGUGAGUGAAGAAGGCCUUCGGGUUGUAAAGCUCUUUUGUCAGGGAAGAAACGGUAGUAGCGAAUAACUAUUACUAAUGACGGUACCUGAAGAAUAAGCACCGGCUAACUACGUGCCAGCAGCCGCGGUAAUACGUAGGGUGCAAGCGUUAAUCGGAAUUACUGGGCGUAAAGCGUGCGCAGGCGGUUGUGUAAGUCAGAUGUGAAAUCCCCGGGCUCAACCUGGGAAUUGCAUUUGAGACUGCACGGCUAGAGUGUGUCAGAGGGGGGUAGAAUUCCACGUGUAGCAGUGAAAUGCGUAGAUAUGUGGAGGAAUACCGAUGGCGAAGGCAGCCCCCUGGGAUAACACUGACGCUCAUGCACGAAAGCGUGGGGAGCAAACAGGAUUAGAUACCCGGGUAGUCCCAUGA